GACGAACGCUGGCGGCGUGCCUAAUACAUGCAAGUCGAGCGGACGAAUCGAAAGCUUGCUUUUGAUUCGUUAGCGGCGGACGGGUGAGUAACACGUGGGCAACCUGCCCUGUAGACGGGGAUAACACCGAGAAAUCGGUGCUAAUACCGGAUAACACGAAAUGUCGCAUGACGUUUCGUUGAAAGACGGCGCAAGCUGUCGCUACAGGAUGGGCCCGCGGCGCAUUAGCUUGUUGGUGAGGUAACGGCUCACCAAGGCGACGAUGCGUAGCCGACCUGAGAGGGUGAGCGGCCACACUGGGACUGAGACACGGCCCAGACUCCUACGGGAGGCAGCAGUAGGGAAUCUUCCGCAAUGGACGAAAGUCUGACGGAGCAACGCCGCGUGAGCGAAGAAGGCCUUCGGGUCGUAAAGCUCUGUUGUUAGGGAAGAACAAGUAACGCAGUAACUGGCGUUACCGUGACGGUACCUAACGAGAAAGCCACGGCUAACUACGUG
rnacentral:rRNA from 1 species